CUUUUUUUCCUUUACCAACUGGACCCCUGUUCAGUGCCACUAAUAGAAGGUCCUAAAGGGAGAAUGGCCUUGUUACUUCCUCUUUGCUUCAUGUGUGCUUCCUGUUCUCGUCAGCUCUGCCUUAUCAACGGCACUGCACCCCCGCAUAUGCAUUUGGUUCCAGUUUCUAGCUUCUAUAAACAUUCCCAGAACUACUCUCACAACCUCCAACCCCAGAGUUCCAGCUGUAAGAGAAUCAGAAGAGGAAGGGAUAAAGAAGAGGAAAUAGACUAUUGGAUAAUCUAAUUAAUGAGGAUUUUAGAAGCCACUGACUGAAGGCUACAUACUAAAGAACUUCAAUCAAUUGAAGACUAUGAUUUCAGCAAGAAAUAUGAGAAAGAACAAGUAUUCUCAUGCUGGAGACUGUGAACUCCCUGAGGGAGCAAAUAUGGAGCUCUUCUAGGCAGUUGGCCAGGAAUGCUGUACGCAAGACUCUAAGUUUUCAUUUCUCAUGGGU